rnacentral:rRNA from 1 species
CAUUUACUGAAUUGUCAACAAGAGUUGUUGCUGGUCCUCAAAUGGGGGCACGUGCACACUCUGUUCACACAUCCACUCACACCCUGUGCACCCUCUGUGGUUCUAUGGUCAGGGGGCCUGUCCUCCCGCUGUGGUUCUGCAUCUUUACACACACACUGUAACAAAGUCUCAUGGAAUGCAUGUCGCGUUUAACGCAAUACAAUACAACUUUCAGCAACGGAUCUCUUGGCUCUCGCAUCGAUGAAGAACGCAGCGAAAUGCGAUAAGUAAUGUGAAUUGCAGAAUUCAGUGAAUCAUCGAAUCUUUGAACGCACCUUGCGCCCUUUGGCCAUUCCGAAGGGCAUGCCUGUUUGAGUAUCAUGAACACCUCAACUCAUUAUGGUUUUCCAUGAUGAGCUUGGACUUUGGGGGUUUUGCUGGCCUACGGUCGGCUCCUCUAAAAUAAAUCAGCUUACCGGUGUUUGGUGGGUACCAUGGGUGUGAUAACUAUCUACGCUUGUGGUUUUUCCACCAGGUAACCUUCAGCAGUGGAGGUUCGCUGGAGCUCAUAGAUGUCUCUCCUCAGCGAGGACGGCCCUUUGAAUGUUUGAUCUCAAAUCAGGUAGGACUACCCGCUGAACUUAAGCAUAUCAAUAAGCCGGAGGA